UGAGAGCCCCCUGGAAAAGGCGGAGCGACCGGUGUGGGGCUGGGCUCCCCCUUGCUUCCCCUUGUAAUGCAUAAUCAGGGAGCUAUAGCUACUAUGGAAAGAAUGGACUUGAGGAAGACCAGCAUAGAAGCAGGGAGACUAGUUGGAAGGCUGCUGCGGUGGUCCAGCUUCUUCUAACGGCAGUUCUGUCUGGAAGUGGAGCCUAAGAAAUUCUGCAAACUACUUCAGGCGGGGUGAAAUUCUACCGAAAACCAAUUUAGGCCCUUCAACUACAGCCAAGCUCAUGCAUGUAGAGAAGCAAUUAAACCAUCAGA